UAGAGGGAUGUGCUAGUGGAUGGUUUGGU
rnacentral:piRNA from 1 species